rnacentral:rRNA from 1 species
GAUGAACGCUGGCGGCGUGCCUAAUACAUGCAAGUCGAGCGAACGGACGAGAAGCUUGCUUCUCUGAUUUUAUCGGCGGACGGGUGAUUAACACGUGGCUAACCUACCUAUAAGACUGGGGUAACUUUGGGAAACCGUAGCUACUACCGGAUAAUAUUUUGAACUUCAUUGUUCCAAAGUUAAAGACGGUCUUUCUGUCACUUAUAGAUUGAUCCGCGCUGCAUUAGCUAGUUGGUAAGGUGACUGCUUACCAAGGCAACGAUGCAUAGCCGACCUGAGAGGGUGAUCGGAAAGACUGGAACUGAGAAACGGUCCAGACUCCUGAGGGAGGAAGCAGUAGGGAAUCUUACGCAAUGGGCGAAAGCGUGACGGAGCAACGUGGCGGGAGGGAUGAAGGACUUCGGAUCGUAAAACGAUGAAAUUAGGGAGGAAGAAAUGCGUAAGUAACUGGGAAGAUAAUGACGGUACCUAAUGAGAAAGCCACGGCUAACUACGUG